GACGAACGCUGGCGGCGUGCUUAACACAUGCAAGUCGAGCGGAGCGGCGAACGGGUGAGUAACGCGUGAGUAACUGCCCCCCUCUCUGGGAUAACAGUUGGAAACGGCUGCUAAUACCGGAUAGUGGGGGAUGACUCGCGUCCUAUCAGCUUGUGGGUGGGGUAUUGGCCGACCAAGGCGACGACGGGUAGCCGGCCUGAGAGGGGGCCCGGCCACAGUGGGCGGAGAGACGGACCAAACGCCUACGGGAGGAAGCAGGGGGGAAUAUUGCACAAGGGGGGAAAAUGUGAUGCAGAAACGAUGCGUGCGGGAGGACGGCGUUGGGGUUGGAAACCGCUUUCAGCGAGGACGCGGUAGUGGCAGAAGAAGCACCGGCUAACUACGUGCCAGCAGCCGCGGUAAUAC
rnacentral:rRNA from 1 species